GCCGGGCGCGGUGGCGCGUGCCUGUAAUCCCAGCUCCCUGGGAGGCAGAGGCCGGAGGAUCCCUUGAGCCCGGGAGUUCGAGGCUGCCGCGGGCUGUGCCGAGCAGGCGUCCCGGCCAAGGUCAGCAUCAAUAUGGUGGUCCCUGGGGAACCGGGGCCCCCAGGUUGCCUAGGGAGGGGCGAACCGGCCCAGGUCGGAGACGGAGCAGGCCAAAGCUCCCCUGCUGAUCGGUGGCGGGACCGCGCCUGCGAGCAGCCCCGCAGCCCAGCCUGGGCGAGACAGAGAGACCCGGCCUCCU
rnacentral:SRP_RNA from 1 species